AGAUACCUUAGUGACCUCCUUGCAACCUGGAUACAAUUCCUUCUUUGCCUCUGUUAAUAGAUUAAAGAAUGCCUUUGCUUUUGCAUUUGGCUCUUCAUUAAUAUUUCCUAUGAUGUCUUCGUGUAUAGCACCACUGAUUAGCGUUGAAACUAGUUCGGUCACAGAACCACUGUCACCUGUUUCAUCAUCAUUGACAACUGCUGCAGCAUUGCCCUCAUCUGAAUCAUUUGCUUGGUUUCCUUCUUCGAUGAAGCUCUCAUCAAACCCUCUAAUAACCAAGUGACUCUGAACCUGAGAUUGUGUUCUGUAGGACAUGCAUCGACAUCUUGAACAUGGACAUGGUGCAGUUUCUCCUCUAGCAGUGCCACCAAAUGUAGUUUGUAUGAACUUUCUGAAAUUUGUUUGCCACUCAUUUGUCGUGAAGUGCAUGCGCAUCCAACUCCUAUUAUUCUGAGACAUGGCUUUCUAGUAUAAGAUAGGAAUCACUAGCCAGGACCUAUAACAAAAAAAACAAAGUUAAACUGAUUUUCAGUCAUAACCAGUAUUGAGCUUUAAAGUUUAAUGAUAAGUUAUUAAUUCAUGCAAUAUGUAGUCACUAGCAACAACAUAGUUUUCAAAAUCCUAUUUACUCUCCUGUUAGCAAGUUGACAUGAGAUGUUUGUGGUAUAUAUGUAGAUAUCUUGAUGUGUAGCUGCUAAGUGAUUUCCAGCCAUUCAAAUGUUAUUGACAUGCAUAUAUACAGAGGGAAACUGAAGCCAUAGAAAACAUUACAAUUGGUGACAAGGCCUGUGAUGUUUAAUAACGCAAUGUAAUACUAUCUAAUUCCAUAUAUUUGUUACAAGGUAAUGUGUGCUGAAUUGCAUUGAGAGAAAAUAAUUAAGUGUGUUGUGCAUAGGCAUUUGUUUGAAGCAAUGUGCACAUCACAACAAUUCUUGCUAUCAGUCACACUUGAAAACAUUUUGGUGCCGACAUGCCUAGAAUUAUUUUGGUGCCGACGCUAAUAACAGUUUCAGAAUUUUCCCUUUGCAUAAUUGUAGUUUCAGAAUCACAGUUUCACAUCCAUUUUUUUAAAAAAGGAUCGUUAAUACUAAUAUCUUUGUGCAGUGUAGUUCAUCAGUUCAAAAGGCAGUUUGCACAUCUUGAGGAGCAUCAUAGUGAGAAGGAGAAAGAGGUUCUACACUGCAAAGAGAGCAUGCUUCUUUACCAAGGUACAACAGCCAUAAAACUGAAUAUUAUUUGGCUAGAACCUGAAAUGGCGGAAACUCUCAGGAAUCAUGUGCAAACCGUCUAAAGCUGACUGUUGGAUGGGGUUGGCGAAGGUGUGCUUGAAUAAGGAUCACCUGAAGGCGUGGAGUCCCUGGCUGCUGGUUGUUGUGUGUCCUGGAGGGCGGCAGUUUGAGUCCCCUGCAGGCAGUGGCGGCUGUAAUAUGUAUUAGUAUAGGCAUGCAGACAACAAUUGGAAAUUGUAUGAUUCAUGUGAUCAUUUUCCUUGUAUUCUUUUCUAUUGUUGGUUAUAUAUCAGAUUUUAGAAGAUUCUUGUGAUCCUUUUCCUUGUAUUCUUUUCUAUUGUUGGUUAUAUAUCAGAUUUUAGAAGAUUCUUGUGAUCCUUUUCCUUGUAUUCUUUUCUAUUGUUGGUUAUAUAUCAGAUUUUAGAAGAUU